GGAUGGAUUGUUUAAUUAAAUAAUGGGCUGAUUGGAAACAGUGGUCAUACACCCAUGGUCUUUCUUCAAUGUGCCCAUGUUGGAGAACUCUAGGGUUGGUGGAGCUUCAAGGAGGAAAGAAAGGAACAGUGACUAAAGGAGAGCAAUGAGGAAGAAAGUGGAGAAGCAGCAGCAGGAGGAGGAGGCAAGGAAGGUCAUGGGCACAGAUGCAUGGAGACAGUGACCACCUGGAGGAGGAACAGAUGGUCAUGGCCUCAUUCCUUGUCACUUGUAGACAAGUUGAGGAUGGUGACAGGAAGCUGCAGAUCAGAGACCCACUUUUUCAAUAAAGAGACUCUUCACAUGACUGCUUCCCUCAACACCAGAAAACUGCAUGGCAGAUAAUGAAGAUUCAGAGGAGAGCAAGAAUAUGGAGCUUCAUGCCAGCUCCUGACAACAAGCCUGCACCCUUGAACCUGCCUUUGUCACCAUGAAUGUCCUGAGGAGGAAUUGAGGCUGGAGUCAGCAGAUGUCAGAAAAACCUCUGCUCACUUUCUUGAGGAAUGUCAAUGGUGAUGAUGAAGACCAGGAAGAGCAAGUAUGAACACGGAAGGCGAGGCAGACAAGGGCAUGUGUCUCCAUCAUGACCCCAACUCACUUGUUGGUGCUUCAGAAUCACCAGCAAAAACAUCACACAAGUGGAGAGAAGAGGAUGGUAACAAUCUGUGCAGAAGAGUGGAGGAUGCCCUGAGCACGUCUCCCCAGGGCAUGGGUCCCGUGCCCAGAUGCCCCAGAGGUUGCUGGCUAGCUCCUCUGGCAGCUCUUACAUUUGCAGGGAGGCUGGGGGCACUGUGAGGCCACUGUGUGCAGGAGUCCAGGAGCUGCUGUUCCAGCGUGUUCUCUUUGAAGAUACCCACUGGGGUCAUCUUCAUCUCCCUCUGCAGGACCCAGCUCUGCCCUCCAAACCCCCUAAAGGCAGCAGGGCACACCCCUAGUCCAUCACCAGCUGCAGAGAGAGGUUGAGGUGGCUCCGCCCUCCCCAGUCCUUGGCUCCUGGGAACAGAGUGAAGGAGACACAGGCGCCCAAAGCUCGUGCAGGCAUGAGUCAUCCGGCAACUCCACAUCCCUGUGGGUGCCCCCUGGUCCUGAGGGUCCCAGCCAGACUGGGGGAUGCCCAAGUCUGGGGUCCUUCAGGUUCUGGAACCCUGGGAUCCUGGGCCAGCUCAGGGCACCAUUUCUCAACCUGAAAUUGGAGCUUCUGUAGUUUUUUCUGUGUAUGUUUCCAACUUCAACUAAAGAAACAGCAGAAAGAAAUACAGUGCAGUGUGCUCUUGGGAUGGUGGUGCUAGUGGUAAGGAAACCACCUGUCACUGCAGAAUACACAAGAGACUUGGGUUAGAUCUCUGGGUAGAUGAGAUCCCCCAGAGAAAGGAACUGUCAACACACACACCAGUAUUCUUGCCUGGAGAAUCCCAGUGAUUGAAGAGCCUGGUGGGCUGUAAUCCAUAAGGCUGCACAGUCAGACACAACUGAAGCAACUGAGCGACUGACUUGGG
ensembl:lncRNA